rnacentral:rRNA from 1 species
GACGAACGCUGGCGGCGUGCUUAACACAUGCAAGUCGAACGGAAAGGCCCUGCUUUUGUGGGGUGCUCGAGUGGCGAACGGGGGAGUAACACGUGAGUAACCUGCCCUUGACUUUGGGAUAACUUCAGGAAACUGGGGCUAAUACCGGAUAGGAGCUCCUGCUGCAUGGUGGGGGUUGGAAAGUUUCGGCGGUUGGGGAUGGACUCGCGGCUUAUCAGCUUGUUGGUGGGGUAGUGGCUUACCAAGGCUUUGACGGGUAGCCGGCCUGAGAGGGUGACCGGCGACAUGGGGACUAAGAGACGGCGCAGACUCCUACGGGAGGCAGCAGUGGGGAAUAUUGCACAAUGGGCGGAAGUCUGAUGCAGCAGCGCCGCGUGCGGGAUGACGGCCUUCGGGUUGUAAACCGCUUUCGCCUGUGACGAAGCGUGAGUGACGGUAAUGGGUAAAGAAGCACCGGCUAACUACGUG